CCUACGGGAGGCAGCAGUGGGGAAUAUUGGACAAUGGGCGAAAGCCUGAUCCAGCAAUGCCGCGUGAGUGAUGAAGGCCUUAGGGUCGUAAAGACUCUUUUACCCGGGUAUGAUAAUGACAGUACCGGGAGAAUAAGCCCCGGCUAACUCCGUGCCAGCAGCCGCGGUAAUACGGAGGGGGCUAGCGUUGUUCGGAAUUACUGGGCGUAAAGCGUACGUAGGCGGUUAUUCAAGUCAGAGGUGAAAGCCCGGGGCUCAACCCCGGAACGGCCUUUGAAACUAGAUAGCUAGAGUCUUGGAGAGGUCAGUGGAAUUCCGAGUGUAGAGGUGAAAUUCGUAGAUAUUCGGAAGAACACCAGUGGCGAAGGCGACUGACUGGACAAGUACUGACGCUGAGGUACGAAAGCGUGGGGAGCAAACAGGAUUAGAUACCCUGGUAGUCCACGCCGUAAACGAUGAUAACUAGCUGUCCGGGGUACUUGGUAUCUGGGUGGCGCAGCACGACAUAAGUUAGUUACGUCCGUCGGGUAGGUACGGUACGUCGAGAAGUAAACUAACUAACGAAGUAGUACGACGUGAGACGUACGCGACGACGACGACGAGGAGGAGGAG
rnacentral:rRNA from 1 species